GACGAACGCUGGCGGCGUGCCUAAUACAUGCAAGUCGAGCGGAACCAUUGGAGCUUGCUCCUUUGGUUUAGCGGCGGACGGGUGAGUAACACGUGGGCAACCUGCCCUGCAGAUCGGGAUAACUCCGGGAAACCGGUGCUAAUACCGAAUAGUUUGCGGCCUCUCAUGAGGCUGCACGGAAAGACGGUUUCGGCUGUCACUGCAGGAUGGGCCCGCGGGGCCUUGGCUAGUUGGUGAGGUAACGGCUCACCAAGGCCACGAGUCGUUGCCUACCGGGGGGGGGAAUAGGCAAAACGGGAACUGAGAAACGGCCCAGACACCAACGGGAGGCAGCAGGAGGGAAUCUUCCGAAAAGGACGAAAGACUGAAGGAGAAACGCAGCGUGAGUGAAGAAGGUUUGCGGAUCGUAAAACUCUGUUGUGAGGGAAGAAAAAGUACCAAGUAACUACUGGUACCUUGACGGUACCUAACCAGAAAGCCACGGCUAACUACGUG
rnacentral:rRNA from 1 species